rnacentral:tRNA from 1 species
GAGGGUAUAGCUCAGUUAGGUAGAGCAACUGACUUUUAAUCAGUAGGUCGCAGGUUCGAUCCCUGCUACCCUCACCC